rnacentral:rRNA from 1 species
UGACAGUACUCCUACGGGGAGGCAGCAGUGGGGGAAUAUUGCACAAUGGGCGCAAGCCUGAUGCAGCCAUGCCGCGUGUGUGAAGAAGGCCUUCGGGUUGUAAAGCACUUUCAGUCGUGAGGGAGGUAGUGUAGUUAAUAGCUGCAUUAUUUGACGUUAGCGACAGAAGAAGCACCGGCUAACUCCGUGCCAGCAGCCGCGGUAAUACGGAGGGUGCGAGCGUUAAUCGGAAUUACUGGGCGUAAAGCGCAUGCAGGUGGUUUGUUAAGUCAGAUGUGAAAGACCCGGGGCUCAACCUCGGAAUAGCAUUUGAAACUGGCAGACUAGAGUACUGUAGAGGGGGGUAGGAAUUUCAGGUGUAGCGGUGAAAUGCGUAGAGAUCUGAAGGAAUACCGGUGGCGAAGGCGGCCCCCUGGACAGAUACUGACACUCAGAUGCGAAAGCGUGGGGAGCAAACAGGAUUAGAUACCCUGGUAG